rnacentral:rRNA from 1 species
UGGGGAAUUUUGGACAAUGGGCGAAAGCCUGAUCCAGCCAUGCCGCGUGCAGGAUGAAGGCCUUCGGGUUGUAAACUGCUUUUGUACGGAACGAAAAAGCUUCUCCUAAUACGAGAGGCCCAUGACGGUACCGUAAGAAUAAGCACCGGCUAACUACGUGCCAGCAGCCGCGGUAAUACGUAGGGUGCAAGCGUUAAUCGGAAUUACUGGGCGUAAAGCGUGCGCAGGCGGUUAUGCAAGACAGAGGUGAAAUCCCCGGGCUCAACCUGGGAACUGCCUUUGUGACUGCAUAGCUAGAGUACGGUAGAGGGGGAUGGAAUUCCGCGUGUAGCAGUGAAAUGCGUAGAUAUGCGGAGGAACACCGAUGGCGAAGGCAAUCCCCUGGACCUGUACUGACGCUCAUGCACGAAAGCGUGGGGAGCAAACA